GGCUUCGCCUGUUUAACAAAAACAUAGUUUAAAGAAAAAGAUUUUAGAUAAAUUCUGCUCAAUGAGUAAAUUAAAUAGCUGCAGUAAAUUAACUGUACUAAGGUAGCAUAAUAAGUUGCUUUAUAAUUAAAAGCUUGAAUGAAAGAAAUAAUGUGAAACAAGCUUUUUAAACUAAAGUAGUAAAAAUUAAUAUUUAAGUGAAAAAUCUCAAAUAAAAUCAAAAGACAAGAAGACCCUUUAGAACUUUACAAAUUAACUUAAUUUCAUUUGGUUAAUUUGUUAGAUUGGGGAGAUUUUUAAAUAAAUAAAUCUUUAGAUAUAAAAAAAUGAUUUAAAUCAAAUUAAAUUAUCCAAAUAUGAAAUAAAACAAGUUACCUAAGGGAUAACAGCGCAAAAUUUUUGUGAAGUUCUCAUUUACAAAAUAAAUUGCGACCUCGAUGUUGGAUUAAGAACAACUUAUAAAGAAAAAUUUAUAAGAGUUGGUCUGUUCGCC
rnacentral:rRNA from 1 species